UUCACCAGAGUUUAGUCUUUUUUUUUCUCUUAAUUUUGUAUUUAAAAAAAAGCAACAGACGAACAAUAUAUCUGGUAAAAAAGUUUACAUUGUACAGUAAGUUGUCCAAAUACUGAUUUUCACAAUUCGACAUCUAUUGAUAUUAUCCAGUUUACUAAGGACAUUCACGCUCUGUUUCAGGAGUAUGACUACUUACUGGCAUUACCAAAGUUUUGAUUGACCAAAGUAUAUAUCUAGGUCCUUUUUUCAAAGCAGCCUGUGAUAUGAAGUGUAUAAAAGUUAUGUAAAAUGUGUAGAUAGCAAACGCAGAAAACACAGGAGUGCGUGAUCAGACACGGGGUGUAUGUGACAUAAACAUUAAUCUGCUCUUCUAAUUAUAAACAGGGCAGUUAAUGAUUACUUGUGAUAUUUAUUCAUUUUUUUUAUCUUUUGAAUUAAUGAUAAAACUUAUGUAGGCAUUAAUAAAGCUUUUGUUUACUUAGUUGAAAUAAAACAUAAUUAAAUAUCACAUAAUUUAUUGAUUGACUUAUUUAUAAUAUAUUCUAGCUAUCUACUGUAGAUGGUAAAUCACUUGAUUAAAUAUUUAUGACUGUUUUAAUUGAGUGACAUUUACAAUGGACUUGCAAGGCCUAUGUGCAAAUCUGCCUUUCAUGUAGAAUUCAGAUGUGGCACUUGAUUAAAUCAUAUUAUUGUAUAGACUGAUAAUGUAAAGCAUGAAUUAUUUUUAUUUAAUGUGUGCAAUAUAAAUAAAACAUCCGGGCAUUGGUGCAAUAUUUCUAUUUCCGAUGUACAUUAUAAUUGUUGUAGCAUUACAUUAUUAUUUAAAGCAUUUGUAUAAGCACACAAUUCUUUUGUUUAUUGUUAGGUAAAAUUGUAAUUAGAAUAAAUGUAGGUAGAUUUAUGCCAUUUAUGAAAUGUUCCAAUUUUUAGUAGUACAUUUUUGGAACGCUGUGUUACCAGAUUUUACUCAAAUAAAUAUAUUCUUCUCUUUUUUCGCCCCCCACAACCGAGGGUAUACAUGUGGUGUUUUUAUCUUUAAUUAUAUCAUCAAAUGAAAUGCAUUUUAUAGAAAUAGAUUUACAUAUCUCAUUCCUAAUCAUAAAAGAUUAACAUAACUUUAAGAGAAUUCAACAUCAUAUAUAUCAUUUUUGUUAAAAACAUAUUCAUCGACAUUUGUUAUUUGUGAUGUUUUAUGUAUUGAGUUUUUUACGGAGUGGUUUAUUGUUGACUUAUGGUGUAGAGAUGACAAUUAUAUGAUGUGAUGACAUAUGCCCCUAACAUUGUUAAAACCUUUAUAAAUGUGAUCUUCUGUAUGAUUGUGUGUUUAUUUUGUACAAACGUUGAAAGCGAUGAAGAGGUAUGGUCAAAAGCAAUAAAAUUGAAUCUGAAAAACA